CUGGCAGGAAACAGCCUGGGAGAAUCAGGAGUGAAGCUGCUGUGUGAGGGACUGAGGCAUGCAAACUGCAAACUGCAGAAACUGGGAUUGAAGGCUUGUGAAGUCUCAGCUGCUUGUUGUGGGGAGCUCUCUUCUGCUCUCAACACCAACCAGCUGCUAACAGAUCUGGACCUGAGUGGUAAUCAACUGGGAGCUCUGGGAGUGCAGCUGCUGUGUGAAGGACUGAAACAGCCAAACUGCAAACUGCAGAGACUAGUGUUGAGAUUUUGUGGUCUCACAGGCACUUGCUGUGGGGAUCUCUCCGCUGUUCUCAGCACCAGACAGAGCCUGACAGAGCUGGGCCUCAGUUAUAAUUUUUCUCUGGGAGAUGAUGGAGUUCAGCUGCUGUGUGAG